GACGAACGCUGGCGGCGUGCUUAACACAUGCAAGUCGAACGGAAAGGCCCUGCUUUUGUGGGGUGCUCGAGUGGCGAACGGGUGAGUAACACGUGAGUAACCUGCCCUUGACUUUGGGAUAACUUCAGGAAACUGGGGCUAAUACCGGAUAGGAGCUCCUGCUGCAUGGUGGGGGUUGGAAAGGUUCGGCGGUUGGGGCUGGACUCGCGGCUUAUCAGCUUGUUGGUGGGGUAGUGGCUUACCAAGGCUUUGACGGGUAGCCGGCCUGAGAGGGUGACCGGCCACAUUGGGACUGAGGUACGGCCCAGACUCCUACGUGAGGCAGCAGUGGGGAAUAUUGCACAAUGGGCGGAAGCCUGAUGCAGCAACGCCGCGUGCGGGAUGACGGCCUUCGGGUUGUAAACCGCUUUCGCCUGUGACGAAGCGUGAGUGACGGUAAUGGGUAAAGAAGCACCGGCUAACUACGUG
rnacentral:rRNA from 1 species